CUGUCCAGGAGGAGGAAGCCAGGGCAGACCUUCUGUGCCCCCCCUUCUGCAGUCGCAUGGGGUGACAAAUACGCGUCCCAGGGCAGGUCUCCUGGCUCUCACACAGGCAGACACAGGGUAGCAGCAGCUCGCAUGAAGCGUGACUGUGCCUUUCUGUGUCUGCGUGGUUUCCUGUUGCGUCUACUCCCUCCACCCCCCAAAAUCAUCUGGAGAGCAGAACUGAGUGGGGAACCAAGGGGGAAGGAUCCAGCACAGACCACACUCUCCCAAAGCAUCAGGACUUCUGCUGGCUGGUAUCCAUUGCACCUUUAUUUCACCCUUUCAAUAGCUCAGAGCCAGGCUGUGACUCCCCUCUCAUAAGACAGCAAACUGAGACAUGGAGAGGUGACAGGUGACCAGGUCUGGGAACAAUAACGUCUGUGCCUGGAGCUGCCCACUGUGACUCCCAGAAUCCUUGCUCGAAUGCUCACAGCAGUGCACCCCCACCCCAUCUGACUCUGGCCCACACCUGACCCACGUG